rnacentral:tRNA from 1 species
AUUUAUAUAAUAUAAUUAGUAUAUUUGACUUCCAAUCAAAAAGUUUAAUUUUGUUUUAAUAUAAAUA